rnacentral:misc_RNA from 1 species
AAACCAGUACCACCGGGGUGAC